GCUAUGUAUUAAAGGGUAUGAUUUAUUUACUCAAAUUAAGAAUUUAGUCUAAAAUCUAAAGAAUAAUUUAUAUUAAUUUUAGUAUAAAUUAUUCUUAGAAUCUAAAAACUUAUUUUAAAUAUAAACCCUAAGAGAAGUUUUUUAAUAAACGAAGUGAAUUGAAACAUCUUAGUAACUUCAGGAAAAGAAAUCAAAAGAGAUUCUACGAUUAGCGUGAGCGAAAGUAGAGAAGCCUAUAUAUUAAUAAGUAAAAUGGUUUAGAAACUGUUUGAAUUUAAUGGGGAACCUUCCUCAAAGGCUAAAUAUAAUACAUAAGCGAUAGUGAAUAGUAUCAUGAGAGAACGAUUAGAAUUAGUAGUUUUAUAAGCAGUUCGAGCAAAAUAAAUAAGUGAGAACGUACCUUUUGCAUAAUGGGUCACCAAGUUAACAUUAGAUGCGAGUGAAAGCGUAGAUAAACCAAUCGUUAAAAUAACGAAUAGUGUCUAAAGUUAGACCCGAAGCCUGGUGAUUUUACCACAAUCAGGAUUAUAAAAGUCCGAACGGGUUAUCGUUGUAAAGAUAUCCGAAGAAUUGUGGUAGGUAGUGAAAGACAACACUGACUAGGAUAGCUGGUUUUCUGCGAAACCUAUAACAGUAGGCAAUUUGAGUACAUCUUAGCAGGUACAGAAUUUAAUCUCAGACAAGAUGUUUUCAUUUUAGUUCUUGAACUAAAACAACAUGUUGAUUUGUAUAUAUCGGGGGAUCGUGAAGAUUUUAUCGGUGAGUAUGUAGACUCGGAAUGGCAAAGAUGGAUCUUGAAUUAUCAGACAUAGAAUGAUAAGGUUGUAUGUCAAAAGGGAAACAGCCCAGAACAAGAGUUAAGGUUCCAAAAUUAUUAGUUAAGUGAAAUUAAGAAGGUUUUUAUUAAAGUCGACAAGGAGAUGGGCUUAGAAGCAGCCAAAUUUUGAAGACCUCGUAACAGAGCGCUUGUUAAGUUUUAAAAGCAUCGAAAAUUUAACGGAUCUAAACAAUAUACCGACACCUUGUCCAUAUUUUACAAUAUAUAUUAUUGUAAUUUUGUGGGGUAGCAGAACGUUGAAUUAAAUUAAGAUAUUUCUUCUGUGAAGAAAUAUAUAACAAACAAUUCAAGUGAGAAUGGUGACAUGAGUAACGAAUAAGAAGGACACGAAGAGAAAGGGAACAAGGUAAAAACUUGUGAUCGGCCUUUUCAAAUCCUCCGCCUAAAGCUUAUGGAUGGGCAGAUACCCUUAAAGUAACGGCCUCUAAGUUAUAAAUCUAAAGGUUUAAACGAUGAGAAAAUCUUUUUUACUAAAUGACAACAUUUACAAGUGAUAAGUGUGCUGGAAAAAAUAGUAAUAUAUCUUAUUGCAAAAUAAGAUGAAAAAAUAACCGUACCUAGAAACUAAAACAAGUAAGCUAGUAGAGAAUACGAAGGCGUAAAUGAGCUAACAAUCAUAAAGGAACUCGGCAAACUAACUACCGUAACUUCGGGAUAAGGAGAGCUCAUUAGUCCUGAUUAAUAUCGGGUAAAAAGGAAGAAGCAUAAAAUAGUGUUGUACGACUGUUUAAUUAAAACACAGCACUUUGCUAAAAGAUUAAAAAUCGAAGUAUUGAGUGUGAUGUCUGCCCGAUGCCGGCUGGUUAACGAAUUUAACUAAAUUGAUCAAAAAAUUUGGUGUUGAAGGAACCCCCGGUUAAUGGCGGCCUUAACGUGAGGGUCCUAAGGUAGCGAAAUGCCUUGGCCGUUAAAUGCGGUCUUGCAUGAAUGAUGUAACGAUACAACAGCUGUCUCUAUGAUUGACUCAGUGAAAUUGGAAUAACUGUGCAGAUACAGUUUACCUCUAGUUAGACGAGAAGACCCUAUGCAGCUUUACUGUUACUAAUUAUAGGGUAUGAUGGAUUAAUUUUCAGAUUAUAAGGUACAUUGGUUCAAUAAAAAUGAAAAUCCUUUAUUUUUACAUCAUACUUCAGAAUUAAUUCUUUUGAUUCUCCCGGCGCAAGCUAGAGGAAAGAAAGGAUUAACCUAGUCUGACUUAAAAGUAGCCUUAGGUAAGGAAUAUAUUGUUAGGAGACAGUUUAUGUGGGGCACAGGCCCCUUAAAGAGUAAAAGGGAGUGUCUAAAAAUUAUUUGUUAUAAAAUUUAUAACGUUGUUUGUGAUUUUAUGUAGUUUUACUAUAUUUAAUCUUAUAAAAUUAUCUUUAUCUACCCUUGUUGUAGAUACGGAUGGAUAUUAGGUACGAUUUUCACUAUAGUGAAAGUAGCGGUAUAAAAAAAUAUUAUGAAAUUUUUCUAAUAUUUUUUGAGUUAUUAAGAGUUAUUUCUUAAUAAUAAUGAUAAAUACCUGAAAAGCUCAACGGCUUAUUCGUGCCUUACUGUUUGAUUAACAACAAAUCUUACAGUUGCGUAAGCAGGGCAUAGGAUCACAAGAUGCAAAAAGGAAAGAUCUUGGAUUAUUGGAAAAGCUACGCUAGGGAUGUUUGUCCUUCAAUAUUUUUAAACAAAAUUAAAAUUAUUGAUAAUAUAUUGGGUUAAUUUCAAGAAUUACUUAUUUAAGUAGAUUUGAAGCGAAAUUUAUCUUGGCAUAAUUAUUUAAGAUAAAAUCGUUCAACGACUAUAAGGUGAGUUAUGCUAACAAUAAUCCUUUUUAACACCCAACAUUUUUAUUACCAUACACUUAUAAAAAAAGAUAAAAAGAAAAUAAAAUUUAUUUUUAUGAAAGCGAAAGCUCUAAAUACAAACGCGA
rnacentral:rRNA from 1 species